rnacentral:sRNA from 1 species
GUUUUUCUCAGGUUUUGCGUGGGAGGCGGUCCCGCGAUUUCAAGGGUCUACACGCUCUUCUAUGGCGAAUGCAACCUGAUGAGGGAGUGGGCUGUAUCUUCAGAGUUGUCUCCGUCUUUCCAAGAACAGAACAAAAUGAACAAGGUAGAACAGAAGUUCCAGGGGUCAGUAUCAUUUAAAGAUGUGACUGUGGGCUUCACCCAGGAGGAGUGGCAGCACCUAGACCCUAGUCAGAGGGCUCUGUAUAGAGAUGUGAUGCUGGAGAACUACAGCAACCUUGUCUCAGUGGGGUAUUGUGUUCACAAACCAGAGGUGAUCUUCAGGCUGGAACAAGGAGAAGAGCCAUGGAAACUGGAGGAAGAAUUCCCAAGCCAGAGCUUUCCAGGUGAGUUAAUAUGUACUGCACAGAUUCACAUCACGGGAUUUGUUGUUUCCCAGUAGUUAAUUCAGGGUUUGGCAAUUUUGGAAGAUUUUUCAAGAACAUCUCCGUAGAGGUCCUAACCUCUGGAAGUGAUGGAGAAUACUGAUUCCUAAAUCAAACCUCCAGAUACUACUCACAAAAAAUUCCUCCUUUUUGAAUCAUUUUUUGAAUGUUUACUAUUCUUACACCUGCCAAUAGUUCAGUCUUUGUCCACCUCAACUUUACUGUUGUUUUUCUUGGUUAUCAUUUUUCUCCAAGCACUUUCAGUGUCCUACCUUGCCUCCA